CACAGACACGCACAGAGUCACAGACAGGCGUGGCAGGAGCGGAGCUGAGGGAUGGCUGCUGCUCUUGGGCCCCGUGGAGUCCUGAGAGUCUAUGGACCCCUGAACCAGCAGAGCCUGCACAGACAGAGGGGAGGACACAGGCUAAAGGGGCGACCAGGUGUCAGGUUCAGCUCCAAGAGCCUAACCCCGUCUGAGCAUCACCUUCUGUAGCUCCUGCACAGCAAACACAGAAGCAUCCUUUAAUAAAGAGAAGAUGGUUUGUUUGUGUCUCCGAUGAGCAGCCAAACACACACAAGUAGCAACAGAGCAGCCUCAUGCAGCAUUACAGCACAUCAUAGCAAGACGGUAAAUAUUAAUUAUAACGGCCUCAGUUUUAGCUCCAGUACAUGGACCAGAACGCGCUGCUGCAAAGUCUGAGGACAUCGACCUCUUGACGCUGGAAAUCCUGCAUCACAUGUUGUGGCUACGAGUCAUUCAGGCCCCGACUGGUUUCUCUGUGGGAGGGAAGUCCACCAGAAAGCCCAGGGUCUGCGUCCAACAAGCUGCUACCUGCCAUGAACGACACAGUGGCUCCGACUAGAAGCACAUUCUGUUUGUGUUGAAGAACAACUUCCUGAGCAGGACUCGUCACAGCAAACAAAGAAGCCUCGUUGUUUAUCUGCGCCUCCAUCGGCCUUUGCUUCAUUAGCAUAUCUCCUCCCGCUGCCUGGGUGGGAGAACCAAUCAGAUCUUAUCGCUCCAGAAGAAGAAAGCUCUCUUCAGCUGGAGCAGCUUCACAGGAUCAUUAUCGCCUCCUCUGAAACGCACGCGCUCAGCGGCGCCUGGCAGAAGCUGGAGCUGCAGUGAUAGCAUUCAGAAAACCUCCAGCACGAUCACCUGCUGCUUCCUGCAUCAUCUCUGUGUCAGACGAACUGUGGAGCUUCCACAGAUACUGGAAUCACUCAGUCAUAAACAGCUUUUGAACAGCGCCAUCCAUAAAAUCCUGUAUUAUCACAACUUGCCAACAAAGUCCACAAAACACAGCCGUUUCCUCAGUCAGCAGCUGAUUAAUUAGUUGGAAUAAAACUUCCUUCAUAUCUAAUAAUUUGAUGUCAUACGCAGACACUUACUCGUUGACAGCGGCUGUGAGCAGAAUAAAAUCAGACCUGUUCCUUUAAAGCUGCUGACAGACGCUCGCCGCCAACGGUGGACUCAGGUCUUCACAGCGGGAUGCUCCUAUGGGGGGAGGGACAGGUGACAGCAGGAAGCUCGUCACUGAAGUCACAGCAGCACCGUCUGACCACUCGCUUAUUUUUAGACAUGUGCCUCAUUAUCUCCUGAGCAGCACAGCUGUAAUUUGAACAGUUCUGCUCGUCAUCGUCAUGUGGACUUUGACUGUAGCAUCAACCAGAGGGUUUCUAGAAUAAAAGCCCCUGAGCUGCGUUUAAGGGACCCAGCUCAUCUCCUCAGCCACAGCAUGAAGCUGGAAUUGCUGAAAGCUGAGGCCCAGGAGGUGAGAGCACACAGCCAGUCCAGAGCGUCUCUAACUAAACCACAGUGGUUUGGACACAUCCACUCAAAGUGGAGCCUCAGCCUGAGCUCUGACCCCAUGUCUCACAAAAGGAACAACAUCACGCAACACAACCGAGUAUCCUUUCUUCCUCCUGAACAGCACCAGAGCCAAGCCCAUCUUUUCCAACAACAGGAACCUGACCCGUCAUCUGGAGCAGAUAUUUACUGAGCACAUGGUUCAUCCAGUCACAUCCUGGUUUGUGAUGACUAUAACACACAGCUCUGCGUUGACUCUCAAAUCAAAGAUAAAUAAGCUAGAAGAGCUGCUGCAGAAUCCAUUUGGUGUGAAAUGGACAGGACUGACCUGCAGGUUGGCACAGGUAGAAAACAUGCAGGCGCUGUCCAUGGGCUUGAUGGCGUCGCCGUGCAGAGGGGGGGCGGGUUUGGAGAUGAUUGGCGGCCGGGCGGGCGGCAAGAAGGUGGACGACGGCUCGGUGGCGGCGAGGGUCCCCCCCUCAGACCCGUACCCAAAGGACUGGAUGGCGUUUUCUGAGGGACACCACAUCCAAACAUCAGGCUUCAGGUCACUACAGGAUACCUGAUACUUAUGUGACACAUUCAUUCGAACCCAGAAAUAUUAUAAUAGGAGGCUCUGAUGUUUUGGCUCUUCUGUAGGAUGUGACCCCAUUUACGCACCAUUAAAUCAGACUUCAUAAAACUCUGACUAAUUGUUAAACUAAUACGUUUUUUUCUGAAACGCUGCAGGUGGUGGAAUCAACUGUAUUCAGUCAAUGAGUCGUGAUCUCAAGCUUCUGUGUCUGUCUGAACCAUGGUCACAUUUCUGUCUGAGACCGAGUCAAAGUAGUAGGAACACGUUACUGCUCCAUCGACACCAUCACCGUUAGACCAGAGACAACUAAAGCUCUGGAGCCUCGAGGACGACGACACUAGAAUUACACUGAAACAUUAACGCUCAAACCUGUGUGGCAUUCACGGACAGUAAAGGGUGUAGGUCAGCUGUGAUGUGAGGCAUUCAAGGACAGUAUGUAGUUCCCACUUUAAAGGGCUUUAACAUUGAAGACGCAUCACUGCUUUACGUCAUCGUGAUCUACAGGCCACACUUUAUGGAUUGUGUCUGACCUGUGUGUUGCACUGUGUUGACUCUGCACUCACUCAGACAGCUGUUGUGGGUGAAAUCCCGGUGAAAGGCGUCACACUGCCGCUCCUGACUGCCAGCGCUCCUGCAGCUGCACCACAGGCCAAUGGUGAUGUUGGAGGGACUGCUGUCGCUGUAGUUGGGUGUGACAUCGGAGCCUGAAAAAGAACACACGACAUGAGCUGAGGACAAAGGUCUUUGUAAUAAGGCCCAGUGGACACAGGCUCUGGUUCAGUUCAACAGAUCUGGUUCUGAAUCGAUUUACAGGAAAGACACAACUAAGAACUGCUGUCUGCUGAAGUGGAGCUUCCUAAGGAGCCACUCACUCACCGAUGAGGCCCACGUAGGACAUGAGGCAGCCGUGGUAGUUGUCGCGAGGGCAGCUGGUGACGGUGUGAGGCGUCAUCUGGCAGUUCAUGUGGAAGUCGGCGAGUCGAGACCUACAGCAGCAACAACACAGAGCAACUGUCACAUCUUGAUCCAGCGUGUUUCAAACUGAGCUGGAGGAGACGAACAAGCAGAACCAGCGAAGGAGGUCACCGAGCAGACGAGGGACUUCUCAGCUUACUUUUACUUCUGACUCGAGGAGUGGCGCAGGCAUUAGAUGCUCCAGCUACAGUAAUAAACAGUUAAACACAUUUCAAACAUGUUUCUGAUCUUUAAGUCUGAUGAAGAAAAGUUCAGAAUGAACCAGUCAUUUGUGUGAAGCUUCAGCUCAGCUACAUCAGACAGACCAACACAGAGUGACUCCAGAUCUGACCGUCGGCGUCAGCUGACGCAGCACAGACGAGCGGAAGGUGAUGAUCUCCAGCAUCACAUGACACGUGUGACAACGCUCAGCCUGAGUAUUCAAAUCAAAUUAAAGUGAAGCUGAGUGAGUCUAAACGGCCUCAUUACUGACUGUGA